rnacentral:rRNA from 1 species
AGAGUUUGAUCCUGGCUCAGGAUGAACGCUGGCGGUAUGCUUAACACAUGCAAGUCGAACGGUCUCUUCGGAGAUAGUGGCGGACGGGUGAGUAACGCGUAAGAAUCUACCUAUAGGUUCGGGACAACAGUUAGAAAUGACUGCUAAUACCGGAUAUGCCUUCGGGUGAAAGUUUUAAUGCCUGUAGAUGAGCUUGCGUCCGAUUAGCUAGAUGGAGUGGUAACGGCACACCAUGGCGACGAUCGGUAACUGGUCUGAGAGGAUGACCAGUCACACUGGAACUGAGACACGGUCCAGACUCCUACGGGAGGCAGCAGUGGGGAAUUUUCCGCAAUGGGCGAAAGCCUGACGGAGCAAUACCGCGUGAGGGACGAAGGUCUGUGGAUUGUAAACCUCUUUUGUUAGGGAAGAUAAUGACGGUACCUAACGAAUAAGCAUCGGCUAACUCCGUGCCAGCAGCCGCGGUAAGACGGAGGAUGCAAGCGUUAUCCGGAAUUAUUGGGCGUAAAGCGUACGUAGGCUGUUAGAUAAGUCUGUUGUCAAAGAGCGAGGCUUAACCUCGUAAAGGCAAUGGAAACUGUCUGACUAGAGAGAGAAAGGGGCAGGAGGAAUUCCAGGUGUAGCGGUGAAAUGCGUAGAUAUCUGGAAGAACACCAGUGGCGAAAGCGUCCUGCUGGAUCUCAACUGACGCUGAAGUACGAAAGCUAGGGGAGCGAAUGGGAUUAGAUACCCCAGUAGUCCUAGCCGUAAACGAUGGGUACUAGGUGUUGGGCCGUAUCGACCCGGUCAGUGCCGUAGCUAACGCGUUAAGUACCCCGCCUGGGGAGUACGGUCGCAAGAUUGAAACUCAAAGGAAUUGACGGGGGCCCGCACAAGCGGUGGAGUAUGUGG